CCUGAUGUCUGGCACCCAACAACAGCACCUCACAGUGUGGACAGGCCUGAACAAUUUCCUCCUUUUGAAGGACCCGGACAAGCCAGCCAGCAACGUAGAACAGGCCCUCCUCCUGGAUGCAAUCGCCAACAGUCUACAAAAGGUGAGGGACAUCAAAAAUCACAGGAACCCUCUGAACCCCCACCAGGAUACAGUGGGACUCCUCACCUCCCAGAGGGUCCAGGCUAGCCCCAAGGUUCCGCACACCCUUCACAUUAGGGCUUCCCUGGUCACAUAUUACUGCCUGCACCUUUGAAAUUGGUUAAUACAUUGUUGUCAAUACAAGGUUGGAGUUAAUGUUCAUUUGUUCAUUGUUAAUGCUGCUAUUUAAAAAAUAAAUAAUAAUAAAACUCUUCCCACUACAUACUGUCAGCCCUAUAUGAUGUAGGUGGCAUCCUUAAUGACGGUAGCAAUAUCAUCUGCUGGCAUUGAAGAUGGGGAAAAGAAGUAACCAACCGUCUGUUGAAAGACAUGCUUUAGGACGAGCGUACACAUCCUCUCCACAGGGGUCAUGGUGGCGGCGAUGACUCCCAUUUGGGAGAUGAUUUCCUGUAGGAAGCCAGGCUGUCAGGAAAUAAAAGUUGUGCCCUAAUGAAGUUCCGGCAGCCCUCAGGACACCUCAGGAGCAUCUCCUCCAUAAUUGCAUGGGGACUACGAAAGAACAAGAGGUGGGGAGGCAAGUGGUGGCGGGUUGUCGCAAUCCACCAGUGUGGGGAUGGCAUCUCUGUUGGACCUUGAUGCUGUGACAAUGGACAAGUCUUCUUCCUCUUUUAUUAUAUUGUUGUUCCUCUGUCCUUUUUUCCCUGCCUCUGUUCAGUAUGUUCAGUGUUGUUAAAUCAUUUCUCUUUUUUUUUGAAUUAUUUACUAUGUUACUGUGUUCUUAUUGUGUUCUUGUUAGUGUGAUGUUUGAAUAAACUUGCCUGUUGCAAUGUUGGUAUGUUUGUAUAAUUACUGUUAUACAACUGUUACUGUUUCAACGUGACCUAGACCAUACUUCUCAUUUAACAAACAUGUGUAGCUUAUAAUGUGUUGCAGGGCAGAGCAAUUAUAUUCAAUGGCUUAAAACAAACCCAUCUGUAAAGAUCACUGAAUGCAUAGAAAUCAAUGACAAGUGGUGUAGAUGGUUUUCC